AGCUCUCGUUCCAAGAACACCAUCUCCACCGAUCGCUGAUCACGACCCCGAAACUGUGUCUGAGCCUGAGGCUGAUCCUGGACAUGACAGCGAGACUGACGAUGAUCUGAGGGGCCCGGCUGAGGUACCACCACCACCACCACCACAGGAUGGUGCGGACAUCCACUAUGUGAAUGAUUUUUUUGUUCGAGAUACGGAGUUGGGAGAAGACCGGACUCUUCUCGGCAUCGUUAGAAAUGCUGCUUUCGACACGGCGCUUCGGAAGGCCAAAGCAGUUGCUGCCGACGUUCUGAACUGGAGCUUCAUGCGCGGUGGGAUAGCAUAUCUUCAGUACGGUGAUCUGCAACGGCUCAUGGAUGAGCGCUUAGAGCAAGCCUUGUCCUGUUAAAAAAAAAAA